AAAAAAAAAAAAAAAACAACAACGUCGCCAUUUCCAAUCCCCUCUUCCUAGUUCCUACUACUUCUUCACCAUUUUUCAAAUUUUUUGUCAACAAUUUCUGCAACAAGGUAAUUGCUACAUUCAAUGAAAUAAUUGGCUGAAUUCAAAUUUGAUUGAUUACUUCUUUUAAAUUUUUUUAUAGUUUUCUCCAAAUUUCAUAUUUCCCUUAAUUGGGUUUUAAGUUCAUUUGAGUUUCACCAUUUUCAUGUUUUUUUUUUCUUCUUCUUCUUCUAUACAUUACAGGUUGAGUUUCAUGUUGUCUUUAGUUAGAAUACUUAAUUGCCCAUCUAUCUAAAUAUUGUCGAUUCUGCUGCGAUACAUCUCUUUUGGCUUGCAAGCCACCUAGCGCGGUUUAAGGUGCAUCUUCUCACUUUUUUGCUUUACAUGUGGCCAUUCUUUUUCUUUUUGUUAGAUUGAGUGAAAUUGGUAUGAUCUGAAGAUAAAUCUAUGAUUACUGAUAGGAUCUGUGUUGUCUCUCUUCAUACACUCAAAACAAACACCCUCACUCUAUCCCAUAAAAUUCUAACCAUCAAGUGUUCGGGGGUAAAUUCUUGGAGCGGUAUUAUAGAAAAGAAAAAUGAGUCAUACCUGAACCAAAUUUGGCAUCUUCUCAUAGGUUGAGGAAAUUAAUUCGAAUCGAAACCAAACAAAGUACUGAGUAGACACAGUACCAAAAUAAAGAAAUUCCAUUCUUAGCACUGAUUAUAUAUGUUUGUAUAAGUAGGUCAUGUCACACUAAAGUCUGAAAUAGUUAUCAAAUUACAAACAACAACCAAACUCGAGAUUUGAAUAGAAUGAUUGAAUGUAUGGGAGUUUAUGUUGGAUCAAGGUAUAUGUUUGGGUAAGAAUCGAAAAUAAUAAGGUGAACUACGUAAGGCUUUUGUUUCAGUUUGUAUCCAUUAAAUCAUUUAAUUGUUAGCGGGUUGAGUUAUGUCUGCGAUGCUGUUUUUGAUUGGUUAUAUGUUUAAAUUUCUUAAUGUUUAGUUCAUGAGCAAUCAAUUCAACUACUUUUCUGUUUUCAGAUUAUUAUUAAGUUCUAUUUUUGUUUGAAUUCCUUUCAGAGUCUUCAUCAUUUCUUUAUUUUCUAAUAAAAUUACAAUGAUGAUACAUUGAUACAGGUUGCUAUAAGUACUUCGUCAAAGAUCUGUCACCAUCUCAUCUAAUCAUACUUGGCAUGUCCAUGCAUCCUAGACUGUUGAAUGAAUGACAACACCAGCUGCAAAUUCUGACCAAAAUUUUCUCAAGGUAUCUUAAUAAUAGGCUUACACCACCUGUCUGAAAUUUCUUUAUAACGAAAAAUCAGAAAAUUUUUAGUAGAAUAAAAAAAGGUAUGGUAGGAACCAGCAAGUACAAAUAAACUGAUUAUACAGUAGAAUUGUUCUGGUGUUAUUUUACAAAUUAGAUUGGCUAACCUGUUGGUUUGGAACUCUUUCUUCUAUGUACUUUAGUUUUUACAAAUCAACUAUAGCCAUUGACAACCAUCGACUUUGGCCAUUCACUAUGGAUUUUCUACCUGAUCUUAGGCCCCAAUUAUGUUUACUUUGUGGUUGUUAUCUGCCUUAAAUUAUCAAGAGUUUUAACACAACACAACUUCUCUAGAUCUACCAGAUUAGUUGAUAUCACUCUAUCUAACAACUCUUUCCAACAUUGAUUCGACAUGACUGAAGUUAAUUUCGUAAAUGUAUAAGUGGACCUAAUUCGUAUUAAUCUUAUUCUUUUGAAUCAUAUUGGCUGCUAAAAUUAGGUGGUGCCAACUCAAAUAUCAUAUAAUUCUGUAGUGGUGCUCAAUCAGUCUAUUCCAAAUAACAAUGGGAAUUUAAUGUCCUUUCCCAUCUCAUAAACCAUUGUGUUAUUUACUUCCUAAUUAGUUGUUAUUGAUUAAUGAAAUUUUGAUUCACAUGUAGGAAUCCAAAGGAAGUUGAAGAUGACAUAUUCAAUGGGAGAGAUCUGUUAUUUAAUUUUCAAUCCUCCAAAUCUGACAACAGUUGAAUCGAUUGACAAAACACCAACAUGUGGAACAUAUACACGAAUUACAGGCAAGGUGAGCGUCUUCCCUCUUGUCUAUUUUUUCUGUUCAUAAGGAUUAUUGAGAUUAGACAAUUUAGUACUGGUGCGCUAAUCUAUAUGAACUAAUUUUUGUUGAGAAGUAUUGGUGUAGAAAAUGAUUAAGUUGAUUACUUAGGAAACCAACCCCAAAGAAACAUUAUUCUACUUAGAAGAGAAAGGUUUUUUUUUUUUUUGUUUGUUUGUUUGUUUGUUUGUUUGUUAAGUUAUGUCAGAAGUAAGAAAGAUAGUUGCUUUAGUGUAUAUGAAUAGGGAGUAAUGUACAUGGUAACAUAUACGUAUGUUGGAUUGAAUUGGAAGUUGAAAGUUUAAACCAAAAAAUGGUAAAUCGUAGCAGAGAUUAUAGUUACCAAAUAACAACUGAUAAGCCUCAGAUUAUAUUGUUAUUUUCUUAAACAUAACCACUUUCGUCAUAGAUUUGGAAUGAAACAUUCAUCAUGCUGACAUAGAAAAGGUUUUGUACUACCUGACAUAGAAAAGGGUUUGCACUUCAUAACUUGAUCACAACUGAAAGCCAUAUACCAAAGAUGAUCAUAUAUAUAAUAUAGUAUUGCUACAUGGACCUUUUAAUUGGAUGUUUUUUAAUUUUCUCUUCUUUUCGGCUUGGCCAUUCAAUUAGAGACCUAGACUUGGACAUUCAUCGCAGACCAUUUUCGAUUACACAAUGAGAUCCACUUAAUAUUUAGGAAUGAACUCCAUCUAACAUCCUUAAAGAUUUAAAGACAAUUUUGGUUUAAUCAUAACUAAAAAUUUCAAAACCCAUUUUUAGAAGAAGUACAGUUUGGUAGGUUUUUAUUUGGUGCUACCAAAAAUUGUAAUCAUAACCCUGACCCUCAGAAAAUUGAAAUCGAAUGAAGAAGAUGAGAUCUCACAUAACGGACUGUUCCUUAAUAGUGACCCUAGGUUGAAGAACCUCCUGAUCUGAAUAUGUUUGAGAAAUACAAUUAAAUGAUAAUUGAAAGUACAUUUUUGGCAGGUUUUUUAGUUUGUGCUACCAUAAAUUGUAAUCACAACCUUGAGCCUCAGAAAAUUGAAAUCGAAAGUAUAAGAUGGGAUCUCACAGAAUGGACUGCUCCUUAUUAGUGACCCUAGACUGGAGGUGAGAUACCGGUUUGGAUUUUCGUUUGUGUAUUUUGUAGGUGAUUGUUAUUUUAUGAGGAGUAAUUAAUAAAUAAUUGAUAUUUGUUUUGUCAAUGAGUGGAUACAUUUUGAGUCUAUGAACAACCAUUCAAAGAUAAAUUUAGAAGAUUUCCACAAUUAGUAAGAUGAAAUCGUAGUUCUUCAUAGUCUAUUUCCCCUUUUUCCUACUUCUUCUAAAGUUACUAUCUAGAAAAAAAAAAAAGGUUUAUAGGAACCUAAAUAGAGUCUCGGUGCCACACUUGAAAAAACUAACAUGACCUUGCAUUCAUCACUCGCGUACUACUUUCAUAAUUACGUAUGGUCAUGACUUUAUAAAGGUACAAACUCAACUUUCUUAUAAUGAAACAGUGAAUACUGUAGGUUUGAUCUGGAGAGUGAAGAUGACAGUUUGGGAGUGGCUGGAUAGUACGAACUACGUACAAAGAUGGAGCUGAAUUGAAAAACAAUUGUCGGGAAAAUAAAAUCACUGAAGAUAUACAAGGAUUGUGGACGACUGUAUGGGGGAGCAGCAGUGCAGAAGCUGCUCAACUAGGUUUGAAGAUGAAAAUGGGUUGGUAGAUGUGUACAGAACUAUACAAGACUGACUGCUUUAUUGUAGUUUAGGUUUAUGUAUAGUUUUGCUUAAUCUGACCUGGCGGUGCCUAGGCACGCUGAUCAGGUGUAAGGGUUUUUUUUGAGAUCAUUAAUAAUGUUACCUUUGCCAGAAAAAAAAAACAAUAAUCUUAGGUGUUGUUACAAUAUUUGCAUCUUUUGAUUCAAACUGAUUUGUCCUUGAAGUCAUUUUCUAAACAACACAUGCCAUAUAGAGAAAGUUUCAGUAA
rnacentral:lncRNA from 1 species